GCGGUUGUAGUCUAGACGGGCCUUUCUGUAAAAGGGGUUCAGGGCAAUGGCAGGAUUCGAGCUUCCCAAGCUCGCGACCCGGGUUCAAAUCCCGGCAACCGCA
rnacentral:tRNA from 1 species